AAAAAAAAAAAAAAAGGAGGGAUGAGGCAUUUUCCAAUGAUUGGGUCAAAUAAUAUAGAUGGAUUUACAUGAUGGUCCCAUUAAUCUUACAAUUUCAGUUACAUUGUCCUUAAAUUGACUUGGUAAAGCCUAUUUUCUUGCUUCUACUCAAUAUCUUUUACAGCAUCCUUAGCAAGCCUUGUCACAUAUGCUGCCGCUAUAGCUGUGGCCAACAAUCCCAGCCCAAGAGUCAACAGUGAAUUGUUCCCACCGGUUAAUCCAAUAUCAUCUUCUUGGAUUAUUGCACGGCCAAAUGCGCCAGC
rnacentral:misc_RNA from 1 species